UCAUUGUAACGUACAUUGAAAGCAUAUUUUAAAAGUACACAUUUUAAUAUCGACACUGUAAUAUUAAGUUUGAGUGCAUUUUAAGUUACAUUUGAAUCUAAUUAUGAAGUGAAGUUAUAUACGCUUGUACUUCAGGUAAUUCUUUUGGAAAGUGUUCAAUAGUAUAACUACAAAAAUGCACUUAAACCCUAUUAUGCAAUUUUGUGCUGUGUGUAAAGUACACAGAUAGCAAUUAUUGCAGUUGUUAUGUAAUGUUUAAUAAGUUUUGAAAAAGAAAUAUGAUACAAUACAUCUUACACACAAAACCACAUUGAACAAAACACUAAAUGUUCACUUCAAAAGUACAGGUGCACAAAAAUGUGUGUUCUGCUGAAAAGCAAGUGGUUUAAAGCUGGUGCAGUGCUACAUUAUGAUCUAACAAAUAGCAUAACCCACAUUGCAACAGAAAAGUUAAUACUGGCCAAAUGCAAAAGAAAUAAACUUAACACAUUACAAUUGUCUCAAGUGUUCAAAAAAGAACAUUUCAUUAGUAUUGUUUAAUGGAUCAAAGCAGGGCUACUGCAAACAAGACCAAUUGGUGAGUGCACAUAUUUAAAAGUCGCUGACAGCACUUCAUGCAUAUAGGAGUGAUAUGUGGAGGUUGUUUGGCCUUGAUGUCUGUAAAGUAGUAGCUCCCCAAGAAUUUUAGUCUUGGGGAGUUUUUGGUUCAGUACUGAUAUCAGAAUUCCCAUAGACUUUGAAUGCACCACACCUGCACAGCAGUUAGUCACGGCUCCUCCCUGCUCAGAGCUAGCGUGCUUUUCUUUUAAGGCCUUGGUCUGCAUGGAGAGAGGUAACUUUCAAAACAUUCCCAUUUGGUUUUGAAAUCUUAAGAUAUCUGUAUAAAACGCGAUUUUGAUUAUUAUAUUUGUAUUGUAGAAACAGGAGAUGUAAUCGGUUGAGCAGGAAGAUUUGCUGUAUUAUUGUGUUGAAGAAUAUCCUGGCUGUUUUUUUUUUUUACAUAGUUGCAGAAUCUGCUGUUACAGCUGAGCAGUUCAUUGUAUGGACUGGACUAGACUCCACCAGAGAUGUUGAUGCAGAAUGUUCCCAAUGUGAAUGCCAUCCGGUUCCCUGGAGGGUGACGCUGUUCUUCUGGAGUUUCCGUAGACAAGUGUCUCUGAUGUGCGCACGGCCAUCAGACGAAAAUGUAACAAUGAGCAGUUCAGCCAAAAAAA